AGCGAACGCUGGCGGCAGGCCUAACACAUGCAAGUCGAACGAACUCUUCGGAGUUAGUGGCGGACGGGUGAGGAACACGUGGGAACGUGCCUUUUGGUUCGGAAUAACUCAGUGAAACUUGUGCUAAUACCGAAUGUGUCCUUCGGGGGAAAGAUUUAUCGCCAUUAGAGCGGCCCGCGUCUGAUUAGCUAGUUGGUGAGGUAACGGCUCACCAAGGCGACGAUCAGUAGCUGGUCUGAGAGGAUGACCAGCCACACUGGGACUGAGACACGGCCCAGACUCCUACGGGAGGCAGCAGUGGGGAAUCUUGCGCAAUGGGCGAAAGCCUGACGGAGCCAUGCCGCGUGAAUGAUGAAGGUCUUAGGAUUGUAAAAUUCUUUCACCGGCGACGAUAAUGACGGUACCCAGAGAAGAAGCCCCGGCUAACUUCGUG
rnacentral:rRNA from 1 species